rnacentral:rRNA from 1 species
UACGUAGGGUGCGAGCGUUGUCCGGAAUUAUUGGGCGUAAAGAGCUCGUAGGCGGUGUGUCACGUCGGCCGUGAAAACCUGCAGCUUAACUGUGGGCGUGCGGUCGAUACGGGCAUCACUGGAGUUCGGCAGGGGAGACUGGAAUUCCGUGGUGUAGCGGUGAAAAUGCGCAGAUAUCUGGAGGAACACCGGUGGCGAAGGCGGCAUCCUGGACCAACACUGACACUGAGGAGCGAAAGCCAGGGGAGCAAACGGG